rnacentral:rRNA from 1 species
UACGUAGGCAGCAAGCGUUGUUCGGAGUUACUGGGCGUAAAGGGUGCGUAGGUGGCGGGGUAAGUCAGGUGUGAAAUCUCGAGGCUCAACCUCGAAACUGCACUUGAUACUGCCUUGCUCGAGUACUGGAGAGGAGAUUGGAAUUUACGGUGUAGCAGUGAAAUGCGUAGAUAUCGUAAGGAAGACCAGUGGCGAAGGCGAAUCUCUGGACAGUUACUGACACUGAGGCACGAAGGCCAGGGGAGCAAACAGG